GGCUGUAUUUUUGUGCUGCUGAAGUUCCCUAUGCAUCCUGAAAUCCCAUUGUUUGUAUGUUUUUUUCAACAAUGUGUUUCAGAAUGUAGUGGGCCUUUAGCCCUUACAACAUCUUCUUCU
rnacentral:precursor_RNA from 12 species